UAACAUUACUGCUAACAUUACUCCUUAUUAUCGACGGUUCCCAAGGGCUGGCCCUAAUUUCACUCAAUCGAUUUUCCAAAUUCUAAACCCGCGAAUGAUUUUCAGUUCCCUCCAAGUAUUUCAUUCACGCUCUUGGCCCUAAAUUCUAAUCCUAGUUUUGACCCUAAAUUAGUUCUCACAAUCGCAUUCCACUCACAAUGAACACAACUCACCUUCAUGCUCCUUCUUCCUCAUCGUGAGGGCUCACCAAGCUCUGACCUGCUUCUCUUUCUCACAUCUUGCUCACGGUUCUGACCCACUCUAGUGAUUCUGCUUUCUGAUCUGCUCCUAACACGAAGGAGGAAAGACACUGACUCUCCCCUGGCUUGAUUGUUCCACUUGAGAAGGUUAGGGUUUCUCCCAUCUCUGUAAUAGUUUUUUUUUUCCUAUUUCUCUUUUACAAAUUCAUAGGCAAUGUCUGAUAUAUGAAUAUGCAUAUGGAGGCUCUGAUAUGUCUGAUAUAUGAAAAUUCAUAUUUCUGCAAUGUAUUUAAGGGGCUGGGUGGUUUCUUUGACAUGUUAUGUACUAUGUGGCAAUGCCUUUGUGGUAUACAGGGCCAGGUAUAGUAAGCUAUGUAUUGAAACAUUGAAAUAAACCUUUGCAAGUUGUUCUGAAAUUGUUAUUGUUAUUGAGAUCCCCACACAACUAGACAGAGGUGGUAGGGAUCUAUAGUAAUAAGUUAGAGAAAAAAACAGCAAAGAUAAAUAAACACUAAAAGUACAAGUAAAAGAAAGUACAGCAAGCUAAUCUAAGCUUAAAUAGACACCAACGUGACAAGGGAACUUGGCCAUUCAUACACUCCCAUCAACCAGUAUAUAAAUUGGAGAACUUCCAACAGCCUAGGCACAUAUGACAGUGAUAAAACGAAACAAGCAGGGCAGAAAAAAAUGCUGCAAUAUACCAGAAUUUUCUAUUAUCUAUUAUGCACAACUUGAGCUGUCUAAAAUUUCAGAAACCAGCACCAAAAUGCAGCAAACUUGUGGUCCUUUACUCUGAUCACAGACAAGCAAGGAUUAGGAUAGGGUCCAGAGUGUAUUCAUAAUUCUAUCACAGCCUUGUUAGAUUACACCUUACCCAUUAAGGUUCUCUUUGAUAAUUCUAAGUUGUUUUUUUCUUCUAUUUGUAAGUCCAUAAUGGCUUCAUCCAAGCUGAGGUUUGGAAGACUCAUAGGCAAUGUCUGAUAUAUGAAUAUGCAUAUGGAGGCUCUUAACUUUUGUGUAUAUUCUUGAAUUUUCUGCAAUGUAUUUAAGGGGCUGGGUGGUUUCUUUGACAUGUUAUGUACACUAUGUGACAAUGCCUUUGUGCUAUAAUGACAUGUUAUGUACACUAUGUGACAUGAUUACCAUGUGAACUGCAUUAAGAAGUGGUUAUCUAUGAAGAAACUAUGUCCUAUCUGCAAAGCUUCAGUUAUGCCCGAGGAUAAGAUGAAUAAAUAAAUAAAUUAUAUUGUAGUAUGAUUAAUCUCACUCUGUAUAUAUAUUUGGACAUCCUUCAAAGUGGAGGAAACGGACUUGCUUUUAGAGAAGUUGAACAAGAUUGCUACUGUGUUCAUGUAUUUAUUUAUGGCUUUGAAUUCAAUUACAUGGAGCCUUGAAAUUGCUGUGAUCAUUGGAUACUUUUUGUGCAGCACAAGCUAAGUGAUAAACAAAGGGAAAUAUCUGAAAAAAAAUGCAGCAAAUCGGGCUAAACAAGUGAUCCCUCAUACACUUGGAUCAAAGUCACUAGCAAGAAAGAAAGAUGAGCUGGAGUUGCAAGAUGGACGACCAUAUAGUAGAGCAGACAUGUAUCUUGUUUCUCAUCAAAAGAAUGAUGGAACUUAUGUUAAUGAUGAGGCUAGACUCAAAUGUGACCAAUUGCGCACUGCAAUUGAAAAUUGUUCUUCUGAGAAUGAAGCCUUUGUUGAUACUUUUGGGAAGGAACGUCCUGGAUAUGUACGUAGCAUGGGACUUGGAGUAACACCAAGUCAGCUCACUAUACCUAGCUUCAACAGGUCAACCCUUCAAAAUGAUGGUUUGAUUGAAAAAAUGCAAUCUGAAAUUGAAUGUCUAAAGGAAAAAACUGCUGAAGUUGAUGCUUUAAAAGCACAAGUUGCUGAGAUGGAUGUUUUGAAGGAACAACUUGCUUUCCUUAUGCAAGUUCAUAAAAAAAAUGGGGUUUGUUAACUUGGAAUCACCGAGAGAAACGAGGCCGUCUUCCUCCUCUAGUCAUGUUUGAAGAUCAAGGAACAUCAUCACAAAAGACUAUUUAGAUUUAGAAAUUUUCAUGUUAGACCAUGUGUGGAAAAUACCAUUGUGUUUAUUUCCUUUUGGUGAAACAUGUUAUGUGCACUUUGUGGAACAUAACUUAUAUUUUGGAUUUGUGUUUAGCACUCUUAGCUUCAUUGUGAAAAAUUGAUGGAUAUAUAUAUUUAUGCAAGUAUUUGGUGGUUGAAUGGA